CGCCGCCCCAGGAGCCGCCGGCACUGCGCGAGUGGGAGGGCUGGGCCUCUCGUGUACUCCUCAAACUCCCGCGAGGCUUCGGGCGGCUUUCUUCCCGAGGGCGGCACCAGGGCCGGGCGGUGGGGUCCGGGUGCUCGGAUGAGGGGCGGAGCUGGGGGCAUGGCGUCCGGAGCGGCUCGCUGGCUAGUACUGGCACCCGUCAGGUCCGGGGCUCUCCGGAGCGGGCCUAGCUUGAGGAAAGAUGGCGAUGUCGCCGCCGCACGGAGCGGCUCAGGCCAGAGCCUGGUACCGUCGAGGUCAGUCAUCGUUACCCGCAGCGGCGCCAUUUUGCCCAAACCGGUGAAAAUGUCCUUCGGCCUUCUCCGUGUGUUCUGCAUUGUGAUCCCCUUUCUCUAUGUCGGGACACUCAUUAGCAAGAACUUUGCUGCUCUACUUGAGGAACAUGACAUUUUUGUUCCAGAGGAUGAUGAUGAUGAUGACUAACAGAAACUGGGUCUCAGUAUGUUGCCCAGGCUGGUCUGGAACUCCUGGCUUCAAGCAAUCCUUGACCUCCAAAAAAGUGUUGGGAUUAUGGGCAUGAGCCACUGCACCUCACCUGAAUCUUUAUACUCCUAACUUAGUGACAGUGAUAGAAAAACAAAGCCUCUGCUGAGGGACAUAUCAGGCCAUGUUGCAAAGAAAACAAAGUUUCUGAUCCAACCAAGGAAAAAGCAACAGCAGAAAUCUAUUAGGAGAACUGGCAUCUCAGCUUGAUAGGUCAAUGUUAACACCACAGAGGACAGAGGAUCAUUCACUAGAAGUAAGUGUCCAGGGUGUGCUGGAGCAGGCUCUCAUGGAGAGCCAGUUACACAUAUCUCUUCCCAAAUCUGUACACACUGACUUCACUUAAAAAUCAAUCAUGGUGGGAGUAUUUAUACCACGGAAAAUGGCAAACACUAUAAAUUUGAGUUCUACCCCCCACAGGGCUGUUCACCAAGGUAUAUUAGGAGUUCCAGUAAAGAGCAGACAAAGGGCAAUAAGAAGACAGAUGCAAAAAUAAAUGCAAACUAAUACGGAACCUGAAAUUUAUUUUAUUAUUUUUUUUUAAGACAGGGUCUUGGUCUGUCACCCAGGCUGGAGUGCAAUAGCAUGAUCACAGCUCACUGCAGCCUCAACCUCCCGGGCUCAAGCAAUUCUCCCACCUCAGCCUCCCAAGUUGCUGAGACUACAGGCACGCACCACCAGGCCCAUACUUUUUUAGUUUUUUGUGGAGACAUGCAUCUCACUACAUUGCCCAAGCUGGUCUUGAACUCCUGGGCUUAAGGGAUCCUUCUGCCUCUGCCUCCCAAAGUGCUGGGAAUACAAGUGUAAGCUAGCACACCUGACCAAACCUGUCCUUGGUACACGUGUGCCUAGAAUCCAGGGUUGCUUUUUUUAAAUUUACAAUCCAGUGCUCUUUUAAGGAAGGGACUAUGAGGAAUCUUCCCCUACUAUCAGUGGUUAUCUUUCCUGCAUUUUUUAUUUUAGAUUCCUGCCCAACCUUGGGAAUAAAAAACAAGAUUUCUCUGGGCAUACUUAUGGGAGCUUGUGCCCAUCAGCUCCCAUUCCUCAUUAUCUCCUGAAUUACUACACAGCAGGGCACUGGGUAAUGAAUCUUCUCUUCAGCAAAAUGUUCACAUGCAUAAAUGCAACAUUUUACUUACAGUUUCAGGAGGUUACAGAUCCUUGAGUUCCCAUCCUCAGAUUAAGAACCCUUGUCUCUAGAAAGACAAAUUCCAUAGGUCUGUCCCAGGCUCCCUCCUCCCAUCCCAACACUCUGAAUGCACCCCCCAACCAAAGAGAAAGGCUGCAGAAAAGCAAAUGGAAAUAGCCUAGCCGUAGACUGAAUUGUACUUUGGUCUAAAUCCGUGGCAAACCAGCAAUGAUUUUGACCCCCCAAAACAUUUGGUAAUGUCUGGAGGCAUUUUUGGUUGUCACACCCAUGGGGUGGGUGCUACUGGCAUCUUGUGGGUAGAGGCCAGGGAUGCCGCUAAACAUCCUACGAUGCAGGGGACAGCCCUGCACAGCAAUCGUCCAGCCCAAAUGCCACUGUUGAGAAACUCUGGUGUAAAUCAGUUCCAGUUGUUCUUUCGUAGCUCACAGAUUCCUGGCUUAUUCUUUGAAUCCUGAAUACUUCUAUUUCAAUUUGAAAAAAUCUGGAAGGCUCAAAAGGAAGUACCCCUUUUGGGUGAAGGUGACUUUUCCACAGUCUUUGUGUGCUUUUCUGAAGUUACUGUUAAGGCUUUCCUGAGUCCAGAAGGCUCUGACAGAUUCAGAAGGACAAUCCCAUACUGCUCUCAGCUAUUUGCUCCAAUUCAUUUUGGUUGCAUUCAUACAAGGCACAAGACCUGUAUUCUUAGAUGGGAAGGCAGCAUGGUAUAAUGGAAAAGAACAUGGGAUUAGGGGUCAAAUAAGCUGGGUAAGGUCUCCAGAUCAUUAUAAAUCAUGAUCUUGCCUGGGGUACAGCCUCCUUAGCCUGUCAUCUCAUCUAAAAAAAAGGAAAGAAAAUAAAUUCUAACCUAAUUCUUUUACAAGAAUAUAGUGAAAAAUCAAGUGACACCUUGUAAAGCAUGAUCCAAAUGCUGGCUGUUAAAAUUGUCACACUUUUUCCCCUUAUCUCUAUAAUAUCUUGGGUUUAAUUAUCUGGUUAUAUGCCUAUAGUAGACUAGACCAUAUGACUAGACCAUCAGACCCUUGAAGGCAGGGUUGUGUUUAUUUCAUUUUUGUAUCUCUCUAGGCAUCUAGUACUGACUCUGAAGUACAACAGAUACUUAAUGAAAUGGAAAUUAAAUGAAUGAACUGUUUCUAUAGAAAGUCUCCUGUUAUCUUACGGCCAGCAAACAGCAUGUCAUAUUUUUUCAAAGGAAGGAUUCAAAGGCAGUUCUAUCCCUGUGCUGCCAUGCAAAACUGGGCCCUGGGAGAUUCAGGGAAAACUGCAGUAGGAGCUAAGAGCUGGGUAUUAGGGGUUUACAGGCAGGCUCUUCUACUUCCUAAUGAUGUCAUCUGAGACAAGUUUAUGUACCUCAGUUUUCUCAUCUACAAGGCAGGGAAACUAUUAGAGCCCACCCUAAAAUAAGGCAUAGUGCUGAGUCAUAUGUAAGCAUUUCAAUAAAUGUUAGUUAUUGGCCAGUCACAGUGGCUCAUGCCUGUAAUCCCAGCACUCUGGCAGGCCAAGGCUGGCGGAUCACCUGAGGUCAGGAGUUCAAGACAGCCUGGCCAACAUGGUGAAACCCCGUUUCUACUAAAAAUACAAAAGUUAGCCAGGUGUGGUGGCAUGCAACUAUAAUCCCAGCUACUUGGGAGGCUGAGGCAUGGGGAAUCACUUGAACCUGGGAGGCGGAGGUUGCAGUGAGCCGAGACCGCGCCAUUGCACUCCAGCCUGGGAGACAAGAGCGAGACUCUGUCUCAAAAAAAAAAAAAAAAGUGAGUUAUCAUUACUAUUUUUUUCAUUAAAUACUUAAAAUUUUACUUUUUUUUUUUAUUAAUGCUCAGGCUGUUCUAAGUUAUCAACACUAUUACUUAUCCCCCUUCCUUGAUUUGAUUCCUCAGCUGGAGUCCUGAUGAUGGAUACCAUAAAACUCGUGUGGCACAGGUCUGAGUAACUGGCCAGCUACAGAUCACUGAUCUUCCCCAUAGGGAUGCACACUCCUUGACGCCUUCUUUUCUCUCCUCUUCCCUUGCUCUCUAGGCUCCUGUAACCCUCUGCCUACUUUUCCUCCUCUCAAGACCCGUCUGACUUUGGGACUUUCUUCCCAAAACAGAAUUUGAGGGAAGGUCUUGGGAGGGGUCGGUUUAGAAAGAGCUGGAUCCUCAGAGUCAGGGUACCUGGGUUCUGUCUUCUACUUGGCCACUGAUUUACCCUUCACAAGCCAACCUUUUUGAAUGUGGUCCUCCUUCCCCCAGCACCUUCCUCCUGCAACCAGGGAGGGUUCUGGGUACUCCUAGAAGUAUUCUGCCAAGCAAACAUUAUGUUUUCAAACUUCUGAAUUUGAAUGCACCACCCCGAAACACACACACACACACACACACACACACACUACUACAGUCACUCCCCACACACAUCUUUUAUCUGCCUGCCCCUGAAGGCAUCUGAAUUUGCAGUCCCUGAACCAGCAGAUCACUCAAAUUUCUCCUUCUCUAGUAUCGCGUGGGUUUAAGUUCUGGUCAGUAGCAAUUUUUCCAAAAGUCAGCUUGAAGACAGGGACUCUGUGGAGCAGACACAGUUCUCAUAUGUCAAAGAACCGGGUUCUGCUUGGAAGCUGCUGCUAAGGUAAGUCCUAUAAAUAACAAAAAUAACAACAAAAACAACGGCAGCAGCUAAUAUUUAAUGAGUUAAAUAUGCAUCAAGCCCUGUUCUAAGCACUCUAGAUAUUUUAACUUAAUACAGUAACUUUCUGAAGAAGGAAUUAUUAUUCCCAUUUUAAAGAUGAAGAAACUGAGGAAUAGAUGAAAUAACUGGCCCAAAGUCACAUAGCUAGUUGAGGGCAGCGCCUGAAGAAAAGUCCGUGCUCCUAACCACCACAUUCUACCGCCUUUUCACACAUACAAGCAGGGACUGGACAGCCCUGAGGAGUGGCAUCGUGCUCCAGCUCACUCAAAAACACCUCUUUCUCGCACUUUGGGAGGCCGAGACGGACGGAUCACGAGGUCAGGAGAUCGAGACCAUCCUGGCUAACACGGUGAAACCCCGUUUCUACUAAAAAUACAAAAAAAAUAUGCCCGGCGUGGUGGCGGGCGCCUGUAAUCCCAGCUAUUCGGGAGGCUGAGGCUGAGGCAGGAGAAUGGCGUGAAUCCGGGAGGCGGAGCUUGCAAUGCGCCGAGAUCGCACCACUGCACUCCAGCCUGAGCGACACAGCGAGACUCUGUCACAAAAAAUCCAACAGGCAUCUAUAAUUACACUCUGCAACUCUAGACUUUGGGUUCUAGGUACACCAGUGGCUCGGCCUGGGCCCUGGGCACAUCACUUCACCUCUCGGUACCUCCGCUGCCUCACCCACAAAGUGUGUCACUGACAGUCAUCGUCCUCCCGCCAAUUGCGAGGGACAAGAGACCAAAGCUCCGAGGGCACGUACGAAUGCUGGGCACGGCCGGUCUGACCCCCGCGCCGCCGCCGGGUCCGUCCCAUGGUAGGCUCGGGUGAACCUCUUCCCCUGAAGCACCCGCAGUCGCCUCUGCCCAAGUUGGUGACCUCAGCUCGGCCCAUGAGAAACCCCGGCCGGGCCGGCCACGACCUUGAGCGGCGGCCUCCGGGUCCCCACGUAAGCCGCUACCUCUCACCAGUGUUCGGCACCUCCCGAUACCAGGCGCGGUAGAGCUCGCGCACCCUCCGCUUGGCCUCGUUCAUGUCCCGACUGAAAAUGGGCUUCACGAAGGUGCUGGCAGUAGAAGCAGCUUGGCGGACGCCGCUCCCCGCCAUCUUGCCAAAGCAUCCACUCCACAACCCCACCCCUUUGCAAGCAGCGCGUGCGGACCGCGAGCGAAUGUCUUUUCCCAUUGGCUAAGGAAGAACGCCCCGCCUGUAUGCUGGGUGGGCGGGAGGAUGACUCUGAGGCUCUCGGAUUGGCUGGGAAGCCUCUCUCUGGCUGAGCGAACGGUGGGGGCUGCGCAUGCUCAUCUACAGAAACGCCGAUUGGCCUUUGGACUACCCUAUCUGUCGCUCUAACGAGCCGGCGUCGCCGCCAGGGGACGCUCGGGCCGCAGGAAGGUCGCUGGGUCGUGAGCUGGCGCCAGGGACGCCGAGCGACUGCGGGGCUUCCCUCAGCGUCCUGCUAUGCGGCUGCUCGCCGCGCUCCCUGGUAGUGUCCGUGGGCGCAGGCCUUGAAGAACCUCCUCGCGGCGGGCCCCCGAGCACAGGAGAGGUGUCAAAGCGCUGGUGCGUCUCCAGAUCCCCGGGAGGAAGGCUGUAACGGCAGCCCCAUCGUAGACAGGGACAUUCGCAUCCCGAGCCCUGGAUCUCUGAAAACCAGCCCAGAAUUUGGAAGCUGGAAGGAACUUUAGAUCGUCCGUUCUGGGUGUCUCUGUUCGCUGGCGUUUUCCCACUGAGGUUAUGUAAACAUGAAGAGGAGCCUACAAGUGUCAAGGAGAAAACGACAGCUAACCAAAGGGCAGGCCAUGGGCAAGAUAUCUCAGUGUUCUCUGCUCUCAUAGGUCAGGUCACGACCCCCAGGAGACCUGGAGGACUGAAUGCUGCUGCCCCCAAGGAGGAGGCUGCCAUCUUAUCUGAGGAGGGACAGCAGGUGAAGUCCCCAGGGGAGGAAGCACCUAGCCCCAUUCCUGCUGAGCAGGAGGUGGCAGGUACCCCAGACUGGGAGGUAAGGACAGCCCCGUGCUUCAACUGGAACGUCUCCAGCCUGGAUCUGACUGAGCAGCCAUGGAGCACUGCAGAGUGGGAGGCAGCAGGGCAGGGAGGCAGUGCUGGAGGCUGGCUCAACCCCAAGACCAGCAGGCCAAGCUGCCAUCCCAGGGGAGCGAGGACGUCUGUGCAGAGCUGAGAGGCAGCAGCCAUGUGUGAACAGACUGGGCCUCAUCCUGGCCCCACCGACUUCGUGUGGACAGAGCCUGUUUCCCUGUCUGAUCUCAAAGAACCUGCCUGAUCUCACUUCCGGAUCCCUCUUCUUCCUGCCAGGAAAAUAAAAAGGUUCAAAAGGAAGUUGCUGCAUAUCCAUCUGAGGCCUCUGAGGACAGCAAAGAGCAAAGGCCCUGGGACCGGGUCUCUGUGCCCAUGACAGAGCUCUGGCUGGGCUGGUUCUCAGCCUCUAACACCCCCAAGACUCAGAACCGUGAAGAAAAACUUCCCAAUAAAUCCAAGAGUUGCUGCUGCUAUAGGCCAGGCUGCCACCUUUCGGGGCCUCCGUCUUCAGACAAACCCAGCCUGGCUUCAUCCACGCUCUCUGUCCCCACAGCUGCAGGAACAGCACUUCCUGCCACCGAGCCGUGUGACCACAGUGGAUUGUCUCUGGAGGGGCCCAAGGGGGCCCUGGCCACCCUUCUGACUGACUUGGUGCCAGGGGACAGACCAACGUCCCUCUCGUGCUGACAUCCGGGCCACACUCUGGCAUGAGGGCAUUUACAGAAAUGCUGGCGGAACUGCUGCCAGGGAGGCUGUAGGGUCCUCUGGCAAAAGAGGCCUCAGGUGGCUUCUCAGAGCGUCUGUGGUUCUCUAUCCCAGGCUGUUCCCUAAGAAGGUCUGCCCAGGACACAGGCAGCUUCGAUUUCAACCAUGGAUCUGAUGACUUUCAACAAACCUUCCUGACGAAAAUGCUGUUUCCACCAGAAGAGAUCUCAGGACAAAUGUAGACAGCCCUGGCAAGUGGGGUCUGCCUGGGAGCCAGCAGACAGCCCACAGGGGAGACGGUCAGGCCAGUGUGGGGGCUAAUGAAUAAAUGCUACACUGUGCCCACUCAGGUGGAUAAGGGCUGGCACUCCUCUUCCCCUGGAGUGGGGCAGCUGUGCUGGCACCCUUGGCAGACACAGUAAGGGGGACUGCACCUGGAGAGGAUGGGCCAGUCGGGGAAGGACUGCUCGUCACUCAUAGCUGUGUGUCACCCCUCCCACAUCCCUCUGCGGAGACGCAAAGUCAAGAGUAGGAAGAAGCCAACCUCGGAGGUCACGACCCCCAGGAGACCUGGAGGACUGAAUGCUGCUGCCCCCAAGGAGGAGGCUGCCAUCUUAUCUGAGGAGGGACAGCAGGUGAAGUCCCCAGGGGAGGAAGCACCUAGCCCCAUUCCUGCUGAGCAGGAGGUGGCAGGUACCCCAGACUGGGAGGUAAGGACAGCCCCGUGCUUCAACUGGAACGUCUCCAGCCUGGAUCUGACUGAGCAGCCAUGGAGCACUGCAGAGUGGGAGGCAGCAGGGCAGGGAGGCAGUGCUGGAGGCUGGCUCAACCCCAAGACCAGCAGGCCAAGCUGCCAUCCCAGGGGAGCGAGGACGUCUGUGCAGAGCUGAGAGGCAGCAGCCAUGUGUGAACAGACUGGGCCUCAUCCUGGCCCCACCAACUUCGUGUGGACAGAGCCUGUUUCCCUGUCUGAUCUCAAAGAACCUGCCUGAUCUCACUUCCGGAUCCCUCUUCUUCCUGCCAGGAAAAUAAAAAGGUUCAAAAGGAAGUUGCUGCAUAUCCAUCUGAGGCCUCUGAGGACAGCAAAGAGCAAAGGCCCUGGGACCGGGUCUCUGUGCCCAUGACAGAGCUCUGGCUGGGCUGGUUCUCAGCCUCUAACACCCCCAAGACUCAGAACCGUGAAGAAAAACUUCCCAAUAAAUCCAAGAGUUAUUGCUGCUAUAGGCCAGGCUGCCACCUUUCGGGGCCUCCGUCUUCAGACAAACCCAGCCUGGCUUCAUCCACGCUCUCUGUCCCCACAGCUGCAGGAACAGCACUUCCUGCCACUGAGCCGUGUGACCACAGUGGAUUGUCUCUGGAGGGGCCUGGCCACCCUUCUGACUGACUUGGUGCCAGGGGACAGACCAACGUCCCUCUCGUGCUGACAUCCGGGCCACACUCUGGCAUGAGGGCAUUUACAGAAAUGCUGGCGGAACUGCUGCCAGGGAGGCUUGUAGGGUCCUCUGGCAAAAGAGGCCUCAGGUGGCUUCUCAGAGCGUCUGUGGUUCUCUAUCCCAGGCUGUUCCCUAAGAAGGUCUGCCCAGGACACAGGUAAUCAGAUGCUCAUUAGAAACCCUUGGGCACUGCCUGUGUGCCCAGCCCAGCCCAUUAUGUCAGUGAGGACAAACGUGGAGGACAGCGGUCCCUGCCCUUGGUUGGGGCUCCAGGCCAGCAAGGGCCACAGCCCCAGAAGGCAGAGCAGGAAGACAGGACUCGGGGCAGGUGAAGUAGCCUUCUCAUUGGCAGAAGGGAAACAGAAGCCCAGGGUGGGGAAGGGCGGGCCCAGGGUCACACAGGGUAAUGGCAGAGCCAGGACUAGGGUCAGGGUCUCUGGCUCUCAGCUGCCCAUGCCACCUCCUCCUCCUCUGCCUGCCCCAGUGCCUCAUGGGUCCAAGGUUGACUCCUGUCCCUAGGGCAGGCCUGUGGCCCACAGGGCUCAUGCAUGGCCCUUGGCCAAGCCUGUGGGCCCUGCCUGACCACCUACUGGGAGGAUGGCACCUACGGUUGGGGCCCAACAAGUGUCCUCCUCCAGCGCCAGCCUGGCCCUGAGUGCAAACUCGUCACUGGUCAGGGGUCUGGAUAGCAGCAUCCCUGAGGGCCCAGAGAGGUGUCCAGUCCUGUGGUGAGGUUGAGAGGUGUCAACGUGCUGGCGGUCCUCACUUGUUCUCAGCACCUCCUCGGCCUCAGCGUCUGCUCUGACCACGCUUGAGAAGCCCUUCAGCCUGCUGCUGCACUGUGGGAGCCCCUCUCUGGGCUGGUGGAGGCUGGAGCCAGCUCCCUUUGCUUGUGGGGAGUUAUGGAGGUAGAGGCACGGGUGGGAACCUGGGUUGCUCGCAGGCCAGCGCCAGUUCCGGGUGGGCAGGGGCUCAGUGGGCCCUGCACUCGGAGUGGCUGGCCAGCGCCUCCAGCCCCAGGCAGUGAGGGGCUUAGCUCCUGGGCCAGCAGUUGCAGAGGGGACACCGGGUCCCCCAGCACUGCCAGCCCGCCUGCGCGCACCACACUUGAAUUCUCGCCAGGCCUUAGUCGCCUCCCCGCGGGGCAGGGCUCAGGACCUGCAGCUUGCCAUGCCUGAGCCUCCCCACGGUGGGCUCCCCGCGAGGCCCGAGCCUCCCUGACAGGCGCCUCCCACUGCUCCGUGGCGCCUGGUCUCAUCCACUGCCCAAGGGCUGAGGAGUGCAGUUGCCCAGCGUGGGACUGGCGGGUAGCUACGCCUGCGGCCCUGGCAUGGGAUCCACUAGGUGAAGCCGGCUGGGCCCCUGAGUCGGGUGGGGACUUGGAGAACUUUUAUGUCUAGUCAGAGGAUUAUAUAUGCACCAAUCGGCACUCUGUUUCUAGCUCUGGGUUUGUGGAUGCACUAAUUAGCACUCUGUAUCUAGCUAAUCUGGUGGGGACUUGGAGAACCUUUAGUUCUAGCUAAAAGAUUGUAAAUACACCAAUCAGCACUCUGUGUCUAGCUCAAGAAUUGUAAACACACCAAUCAGCACCCUGUGUCUAGCUCAAGGUUUGUAAAUGCACCAAUCAGUGCUCUGUGUCUCGUUAAUUCUAGUGGGGACUUGGAGAACUUUCAGGUCUAGCUAGAGAAUUGUAAAUACACCAAUCAGCACUCUGUGUCUAGCUCAGGGAUUGUAAAUGACCAAUCAGCACCCUGUCAAAAUGGACCAAUCGGCUCUCUGUAAGUGGACCAAUCAGCUCUCUGUAAAAUGGGCCAGUCAGCAGGAUGUGGGUGGGGUCAGAUAAGGGAAUAAAAGCAGGCUGCCCGAACCAGCAGCAGCAACCUGCUCACCAUCA